UACGAAGGGGGCUAGCGUUGCUCGGAAUCACUGGGCGUAAAGCGCACGUAGGCGGAGUGCUAAGUCAGGGGUGAAAUCCUGGAGCUCAACUCCAGAACUGCCUUUGAUACUGAGGAUCUUGAGUUCGGGAGAGGUGAGUGGAACUGCGAGUGUAGAGGUGAAAUUCGUAGAUAUUCGCAAGAACACCAGUGGCGAAGGCGGCUCACUGGCCCGAUACUGACGCUGAGGCACGAAAGCGUGGGGAGCAAACAGG
rnacentral:rRNA from 1 species